GUGAGACUUUUGUAGUGAUCAUUCAUUUGAUACAUCAAUGCAAUAGAAUGCCCAUAAAGGUAUUUCUUUAUGUUUAACAAUGGUGAUUUCUUUUGGGCAACCGUUGCUUCGGAAACUCUUUUCACACCUUAUGACACUGCAGAAAAUAUUGACCAUUAUUUUGCUAAGGCAAUGCGAUAGACAUGUCCGUAAACGUAUUUUCUCUAUGUGGAAACGGAACAUAGUUAUGCAAUUACCGUCGUAGAUAUAUAUGACCACCAAAUAGAUGAAAACGAUAAAAGUUUUCACAUCCUUAAGAAGUUUCAGUUGCAGGUUCCCAGCUUCCAACGGAGCGUGUAUUUAUGAAUUAAUAUCAGAUAAUGACUAUACCAAGGGUCCUCGAUGAGGUGAGGGAAUCCUGCCCUACCGGUGGCAUCCGCCAUAAACAAAUGCACCUGAAAAAGCACUUGAAUGUGUGGUAUGAGU